rnacentral:rRNA from 1 species
GACAGAGGGUGCAAACGUUGUUCGGAAUUACUGGGCGUAAAGUGUGCGCAGGCGGCAGAGCAAGUCGAGUGUGAAAGCCCCGGGCUUAACUUGGGAAUUGCGCUCGAAACUACUUUGCUGGAGUGUGGCAGAGGAAGGUGGAAUUCCACGUGUAGCGGUGAAAUGCUUAGAUAUGACAUAGAACACCAAUUGCGAAGGCAGCUUGCUACACGGAUAUUGACUCUGAGGCACGAAAGCGUGGGGAUCAAACAGG